rnacentral:rRNA from 1 species
AUUGAACGCUGGCGGCAGGCUUAACACAUGCAAGUCGAGCGAGCGGCGGACGGGUGAGUAAUGUCUGGGAAACUGCCUGAUGGAGGGGGAUAACUACUGGAAACGGUAGCUAAUACCGCAUACCAUCAGAUGUGCCCAUAUGGGAUUAGCUAGUAUGUGGGGUAAUGGCUCACCUAGGCGACGAUCCCUAGCUGGUCUGAGAGGAGGACCAGCCACACUGGAACUGAGACACGGCACAGACUCCUAUGGGAGGAAGCAGUGGGGAAUAUUGCACAAGGGGCGCAAGCCUGGUGCAGCCAUGCCGAGUGUAUGGAGAAGGCCCUAGGGUUGUAAAGGACUUUCAGUCGGGAGGCGUUACCAGCAGAAGAAGCACCGGCUAACUCCGUGCCAGCAGCCGCGGUAAUAC